rnacentral:lncRNA from 1 species
GUAAAUUAAUAGAUUAGUUAACAUCUGGGUAGAGACAAGCCACGCAACUUCGGUAUUAGAACCUUUAAAAUAAAGAAUUUUUCUAUUAAAUAACAAUUAUAGAAGAGAAGAAUUAAUUCUUGUUUAAAAUUGAUGAAUCAUGAACGCAGAGACAUUAACUUAUUCUAUCGUCCAUUAAAACCCCUCAUUUGUGAUUUAAGUAGUCAAUCAUGGAAUGGUGGAUUGUUUGGUGAAAGAUUUUGUCGGAAAUUUUGCUUUUUGGAGGUGAAACUUGAAAGAGUCCUCCAAAAGCAAUUAUCAAUUAACUUUUAAUUGCAGAUUGCCCUUAUUAGUGAGUAUGGAGGAAGGACUUCUUAUCAAACCACAUCGAAGGAAGACAUUUUUGGAUGGAAUAUCCAUUACAUAGUUAUAAAAUAGUCAGUUACUUCGUAGUUAAUCAUAUUUCUCUUAUAUUGGAGAAGAACUUCUUUUGAUGAAUCUUUUUUCAUCUAUAAAUAAUUUCACAUGAAGUAAUUCAUAUAUCACCUCUUAUAUUUGGAUUUGAUCUAACUUUUCUAAUUGAUUAAAAGUGUUGAAAAUAGUGUAUAUGUUUUUGGUUAAUUUUUGAAGAAUUUAUUAUCAAGGAUCCCUCAUCCUCCCCUGUAAAUAUAUAUAUAGAGAGAGGGAAAGGUGGUAUCUGCUUGUAUAUGUACCUUUAACGUCAGGAAUUUUAAACUUAUAUUAUUGUUUAAGAACCUAUGUGUGGAUUAUUCAACAUGUUAAGCAUGAAUUAGUCCAUAUUUUACCUUCUUUAAUGCAACAAAUAGUUAUUACUGUCGCAGCUCAAAAUGAAGAGACGGCACCUAAUGAAGUUAGGUUGAUAUUUUUUUCAUUUCAAAUUGAUUCUGAUAAUUUACUGUGACAGCAAGUUCAACUUUUACUUCUGGAUAUUUAUUUAUGCCAUUAUAUUU